UGGUGGAGUGAUUUGUCUGGUUUAUUCCGAUAACGAACGAGACCUCAGCCUGCUAAAUAGCCACGGGCCGUUUUCGCAACGGGCCGGCCGUGCUUCUUAGAGGGACUAUCGGCGACUAGCCGAUGGAAGUUUGAGGCAAUAACA
rnacentral:rRNA from 1 species